GUCUUUCUUUGACUGAAUGUAUUUUAUUGUAAAGCUAUAAGGAAGGAGUAAUUACAAGAUAUCAUUUCUUUGAUUUGCUCAGCAAAAAUAAAAGACCACAUUAUUUUUUAAAGUCAAACAUGCGGAUGCUGAUCAAAAGAGAACAGAUGAGGCUCAAACGAACACGCCACCCAACUUCCUCUAAGAAAACGAAAGGACCGAAAAAACAGCUAAACAAAGAAACGAAAGAAUAAAACAAAAUAAAUGUACAGCUUGUCUCGGACGAACGUGACCAAACGGAAAGGAAAGCGGUAAAGCCGGUGGAUGAUGGGAGGAGAGACGUCCUCCGCUCUGAGCCUGACUCAUCACUCCUACAUUUAAAGAGCCUACGGUACUUUAGACGAUAAAAUCCUACAAGGUCAGGGUCAGAUUUCCUUCACCGUGUCUGAAUAUAUAUAUUUUUUCUUCUUGAUUUUUUAAAAACCUACACUUCCAUGUACAUAAAACUGUACAAAAAACAAGGCAUCACUAGCAUUGUUCCUAUAUAAAUAUAACCAACCAACAAUUAGGCUACAAACGUGGACUUUCUGCAAAGACUGAAGUGUUUCGGCAGCUCGGACCUGAUGUUUUCUUCUUCGCGUUCAGAAAAACAGAAACAUGUUUGAUGAGCGUGGUAAAGUUUGGAAGCUCAGAGCCGCCAUCCACCGUUUUAUUACAUUCAUAAACCAGGACGGUUUUCCAAAACAAUGACCAGAAAUUUUACUGUAAAUUCAGAUUUUAAAGGCUGAUGGAGCCGACGUUUCCUCUCGAGACAGAUUUAUCUCAAAUUAACUUCAUUUUUAUAAAGUGAUGGUCGUAUUUUUCCAUGAAGCUCAAAAGUAAGAUCAGUUUUUAGCUUCAUGACGACACGUUAGCUGCUUUUCCUUGUGAAUUUGUAAAGAUAGUGUCGUGUGAAGGAAACCGUCCUCUUUAAAGACAUGUCCUCCUCGAUUUAGAGCCUUUUAAAGUCAGUCUUUGCUCUUACUCAGACUUUUUACAGCCAAAACUGUUGGAAAAAGUCCAAAGACCAUUUAAUGGAAAACUGGGGCUGCCUCUAUGGUCCACAUCGUGGUUUUGACUUCUAGAUCUCUUAGGGCGCACUCACAAAAGGUAGAUAUCCUCCAAAAAAGUCGUAUUUGUUUGACUUUCUCUUGGUGCUUCGUCCUGCACCAAGAGAAAGUCAAACAAUCCCUUUACUUUCACCCAAACGCCAAAGGUCAGGAUGCAGAAAAACAUCCCCUUUAAUUUGAAGGGAUGACAGGAAAGACGGUGUUAAUGUGACUCUGGUACUGGCGGAGUGAAUCAGCGUGAGGAGGCAUCAGUUGGCGAAGGUUUAAAGGCCGGACUUAGAGACGGACAUGAACAAAGACAGCAUUAAAAACUAACGGUAUUUUUUUUUUCUUACAGUGUGAUAAAUUCAUCAUGAAAAUGAAUUAGACAUAAUGAAGGGAAAUCAUGCAUGUAUAUUCAUCACGCCAUUUAAGCCUGGAGCUACCUUACCAGGGACAUCUGUGCCUACUGUGAGUGCGUCCUAACAAUCCAGUUAAUUCACUCUUGUACUUAAAAGCUGACAGACUGACGUAAAUCCUGAAAAUUCCCCAAAUGAAGAAUGGCUGCUUUCAGCUUCCGUACUUUACAAACUCAUCCUGAGAGGCCUGAUCCAGUUUUUGGGGGUCUGAAAACAAUCCUCACUGUUUGACUCCUGCUGGAUCCUGUUUUUUUUACAGGUAGAGAUGACGUAAAGAAACAGGAAACACAGAGUCCAGUCUGCCCGCUCAGAAAACAUCAUUUACACCGCCGCCUCUGGUAAAAAACAGCAACGACCAUUUAUAUUCAUACAGUAUGUCUAUAGCAGUGUUGAUUCCAUAACAUUGAUAAAAACAAGUGCGACAACAACAGAAAUGUAUAUUUAUAAAGUCGGCUUGUUUCAUGCUCAGCUGAAGACCCCAGCCUCAGUAUAAUACACAACCAAAAAACAGCCGAGCACGGCAAACUUCAUCACAUGGUUUCAUGUAGACCAAGUCGGCCGCUCGUGUGUUUUCACUCCGGUGUUCAAAAUCAGACUUCUGCGCUGAUUCGAUUAAAGAAAAGUCACAUUUAACCGACUGCAUUUGUGUAAAUCUCCCUAAAACCAGGAGAGAUGCAGCAGCAGAUGUUUUAUUCAAAGAGGAUUCCUCAAGAAGAAUUUGGUCAAUUUGACGGUUUGCUGAAAAGUAAAGUGGUAAAUGUCGGGUUUCAGGUGUGCCUUUCCCGGGAAAGAAACUUGGCGUUGAACCUCAAAUGCAUAAAUCAGUUUUGAAAUCAGAUCGAGGAAGGUGACACGCCGUCAAAGCGGGCAGGUCGGUGGAGCUUCAUGUUUUAUUAAAGGUGCACUCUGCAGAUUUUUCACGUCAGAGUGAAUUAAAUCUUUAGACUACAGCUCAGCCGGUGAUAAGGCCGCGUUAUCGUUUCCUUUGUGGCUCUGGAGGACGGCCAAUCAGCUCAAGGAUAUUCACUGACGAUGGCGGACAGGGACCCACGGGACAGGGUGGGACUGUUUGUGGAAAAGUUGCUCCAAUUUGCAAAGUUCUCGGGAACAUUCAAAAACUCAAGAAGUCCCAAACCUAAGACCAGGAGAGGCCAGAACUCGUCCCUGUAAGUGGACAGAGAGUCACUGACGGACUCUCUCUGCGUGUUUGAACAAAGUUAAAGUUUUCUUUAUAGACCCACAAACUGAAAACAUUCCUGUUUUUCCCUCGUUGAGGAGCAGAUUUCAGCUCAUAGCUGAACUCACGGCUCCAACGACUAGAUUAAAAAUAAAAGAGCAGAAAAGUUUCACAAUAAUUUAAAGC
rnacentral:lncRNA from 1 species